rnacentral:rRNA from 1 species
UACGUAGGGGGCAAGCGUUGUCCGGAUUUAUUGGGCGUAAAGAGCGUGUAGGCGGUUUGGUAGGUCCGCUGUGAAAACUCGAGGCUCAACCUCGAGACGCCGGUGGAAACCAUCAGACUAGAGUCCGGGAGAGGUGAGUGGAAUUCCCAGUGUAGCGGUGAAAUGCGUAGAUAUUGGGAGGAACACCAGUGGCGAAGGCGGCUCACUGGACCGGAACUGACGCUGAGGCGCGAAAGCGUGGGGAGCAAACAGG